rnacentral:rRNA from 1 species
AUGGCUUCCGCCGUCGCUUGCAAGGCCGCCGCGCCGGCCGGCCUCCUCAAGUCCGGUGCUCCCGUGGCCUUCUGCGCGCCCCACUCCCCCGCCGUCAACGCCGCCCGCCGCCCGUACAACACCCAGGUCAAGGAGGUCAACCGCUACGACGACGACGACGACGACUACAGCGGCCGCGACCUCGUCAUCCCCAGCUUCUUCUCGCAGGACGUGCUCGACCCGCUCGGCGCGCCGACCAGCAUGGCCCGUCUGCUGUCUAUGAUGGAGGACGUUGCAACUCAGACCGGCCUCUCCUCCACUGCCGGGGCGUCGCGGCUCGGACGCUGGGUGGCCAAGGAGGACGACGACGCGGUGUACCUCAAGGUGCCGAUGCCCGGGCUGACCAAGGAGCACGUGACGGUGCGCGCGGACAAGAACAUCCUGGUGAUCAAGGGCGAGGGCGAGAAGCAGCCCUGGGACGGCGACGACGACUCCGCGGUGCCGAGGUAG